rnacentral:rRNA from 1 species
UAGGGAAUCUUCCGCAAUGGGCGAAAGCCUGACGGAGCAACGCCGCGUGAGUGAUGAAGGUCUUCGGAUCGUAAAACUCUGUUAUUAGGGAAGAACAAAUGUGUAAGUAACUAUGCACGUCUUGACGGUACCUAAUCAGAAAGCCACGGCUAACUACGUGCCAGCAGCCGCGGUAAUACGUAGGUGGCAAGCGUUAUCCGGAAUUAUUGGGCGUAAAGCGCGCGUAGGCGGUUUUUUAAGUCUGAUGUGAAAGCCCACGGCUCAACCGUGGAGGGUCAUUGGAAACUGGAAAACUUGAGUGCAGAAGAGGAAAGUGGAAGUCCAUGUGUAGCGGUGAAAUGCGCAGAGAUAUGGAGGAACACCAGUGGCGAAGGCGACUUUCUGGUCUGUAACUGACGCUGAUGUGCGAAAGCGGGGGGAUCAAACAGG